GAUGAACGCUGGCGGCGUGCCUAACACAUGCAAGUCGAGCGAUUCUCUUCGGAGAAGAGCGGCGGACGGGUGAGUAACGCGUGGGUAACCUGCCCUGUACACACGGAUAACAUACCGAAAGGUAUGCUAAUACGAGAUAAUAUACUUUUAUCGCAUGGUAGAAGUAUCAAAGCUUUUGCGGUACAGGAUGGACCCGCGUCUGAUUAGCUAGUUGGUAAGGUAACGGCUUACCAAGGCGACGAUCAGUAGCCGACCUGAGAGGGUGAUCGGCCACAUUGGAACUGAGACACGGUCCAAACUCCGACGGGAGGCAGCAGUGGGGAAUAUUGCACAAUGGGCGAAAGCCUGAUGCAGCAACGCCGCGUGAGCGAUGAAGGCCUUCGGGUCGUAAAGCUCUGUCCUCAAGGAAGAUAAUGACGGUACUUGAGGAGGAAGCCCCGGCUAACUACGUGCCAGCCGCCGCAGUAAUAC
rnacentral:rRNA from 1 species